UCAGGACGAACGCUGGCGGUGCGCCUUAUGCAUGCAAGUUGAGCGAAGCUUUUCAGUAGUUUACUACAGAAAAUGACUGAGCGGCGAACGGGUGAGUAACGCGUGAGCAAUCUACCUUAGUUACUGGGAUAGCCCGAGGAAACUCGGAUUAAUACCGGAUAUUCUUAUUUUUUCACAUGAAGUUUUAAGGAAAGGUCAGCCGAACUAAGAUGAGCUCGCGUUCCAUCAGCCAGUUGGUGGGGUAAAAGCCUACCAAGGCAACGACGGAUAGCUGGUCUGAGAGGACGAUCAGCCACACUGGGACUGAGACACGGCCCAGACUCUACGGGAGGCUGCAGCAGGGAAUAUUGUGCAAUGAGCGAAAGCUUGACACAGCGACACCGCGUGUGGGAUGACGGUUCUAGGAUUGUAAACCACUUUCAGGAGGGAAGAAAAUGACGGUACCUCCACAAGAAGACCCGGCCAACUAUGUGCCAGCAGCCGCGGUAAUACAUAGGGGUCAAGCGUUGUCCGGAUUUAUUGGGCGUAAAGAGCUCGUAGGCGGUUCAACAAGUCGGUCGUAAAAGUUUAGGGCUCAACCCUAAAAUSUCGAUCGAUACUGUUGUGACUAGGAUACGGUAGAGGUGAAUGGAAUUCCGAGUGUAGCGGUGAAAUGCGUAGAUAUUCGGAGGAACACCAAUUGCGAAGGCAGUUCACUGGACCGUAAUCGACGCUGAGGAGCGAAAGCUAGGGGAGCAAACAGGAUUAGAUACCCUGGUAGUCCUAGCUGUAAACGAUGGAUACUAGAUGUAGGAACUGGAUUGACGGU
rnacentral:rRNA from 1 species